rnacentral:rRNA from 1 species
GACGAACGCUGGCGGCGUGCCUAAUACAUGCAAGUCGAGCGAAGUUUUUCUGGUGCUUGCACUAGAAAAACUUAGCGGCGAACGGGUGAGUAACACGUAAAGAACCUGCCUCAUAGACUGGGACAACUAUUGGAAACGAUAGCUAAUACCGGAUAACAGCAUUAACUGCAUGGUUGAUGUUUGAAAGUUGGUUAUGCUAACACUAUGAGAUGGCUUUGCGGUGCAUUAGCUAGUUGGUGGGGUAAAGGCCCACCAAGGCGACGAUGCAUAGCCGACCUGAGAGGGUGAUCGGCCACACUGGGACUGAGACACGGCCCAGACUCCUACGGGAGGCAGCAGUAGGGAAUCUUCCGCAAUGGGCGAAAGCCUGACGGAGCAACGCCGCGUGAGUGAAGAAGGAUUUCGGUUCGUAAAGCUCUGUUGUUAGGGAAGAAAGGAUAUGUAGUAACUAUACA